rnacentral:rRNA from 1 species
CCUAAGACGUAGCUAGAAAAGCGAAGCCGAGUGGGAAACGGGUUAAUAUUCCCGUACCACCAGUUGGGAGCAGAGCAGGGACGGAGAAGGGUAGGUCAGCCAGGCGCUGGUAGUCCUGGUGCAAGCCUGUAGGGAGUGCUCGUAGGAACAAAACGCGGGUGCAAUCUCGAGAGGUGAUGCCGUGGUCUUCGGACCGAAGUGAUUGAUCCCAUGCUUCCGAGAAAAGCUGCGGGCUGCGAUGAUCGACUGGUGACCGUACCGCAAACCGACUCAGGUGGGCAGGUGGAGAACACCAAGGCGCUUGAGAGAACUCUGGUUAAGGAACUAGGCAAAUUGACACCGUAACUUCGGAUAAGGUGUGCCAUCGGUAUGUGAAGGGCCUGCGCCCGGAGCAGAGGAUGG